CUUCACUCAUGUCUGCCACUGCUCAUUGUCGUGUUGACAGAGCAUUCACCCGAUGGCGGAAUACCACGCCGCAGCAUGGGCAGUCGGCGGUUGCGCUAUAUACAUGAGUGACAAACCCGAAAACCAUGACUUCGAUCUGCUGAGGAAGCUUGUGUUUCCUGACGGAUCAAUCCUGCGAGCCAAACUGCCCGGGGGACAAACUGCACUACCGUUGUCGCAGAAAUUCCAUGCGAUGGAAGCUUCUAGAGCCUGCUGGUACUUCCUAGCUAGAAGCCCCACGAGCUCGACGUCCAGCCCUACAACCACCACCCCACGCACAAGGUGCUCUGCUCUUGCUCAUGUCUAGCACCGUCUCCGGCGCGGUGGUGCUUCUUGAGGCGACCGGCGUGACGGCGGCGACCACAAGCUCUCCGCCGCUAGUAGACGUCAACGAUGCCUACUUGCUUGGCUGCUACAGUGAUGCAUGCGCCGGUCAAGCAAGCACACAUGCAUAUACGUACAUGUUAGGAUAGUAGCAGAUGUGCCAUAAUUCCUGUGUAAGGAAAUGUAUUCUUGAGAUGAUUUUGUUAUGUUAUCUAAACCUGGGAGAUGUGUUAUGUGAUGUGAUAUGAUGGAUGAUUUGAA